GCCCAGAUGGGAUUAGCUUGUUGGUGAGGUAACGGCUCACCAAGGCGACGAUCCCUAGCUGGUCUGAGAGGAUGACCAGCCACACUGGAACUGAGACACGGUCCAGACUCCUACGGGAGGCAGCAGUGGGGAAUAUUGCACAAUGGGCGCAAGCCUGAUGCAGCCAUGCCGCGUGUAUGAAGAAGGCCUUCGGGUUGUAAAGUACUUUCAGCGGGGAGGAAGGUGUUGUGGUUAAUAACCGCAGCAAUUGACGUUACCCGCAGAAGAAGCACCGGCUAACUCCGUGCCAGCAGCCGCGGUAAUACGGAGGGUGCAAGCGUUAAUCGGAAUUACUGGGCGUAAAGCGCACGCAGGCGGUCUGUCAAGUCGGAUGUGAAAUCCCCGGGCUCAACCUGGGAACUGCAUUCGAAACUGGCAGG
rnacentral:rRNA from 1 species